AGGGACGGGCGUCAUGUCGACGGUGCUCUCCGUGAGACAGGAAUGGGACAGCGAGGGGUGGCAGGAGCCGGGCGGCACCUUAGCGGGGACAGUCCGCGGGGCCGAGCGCCGGGGUUCCCGGGCUGCCCCCGCCACCGCCCUCCCCACCGGCUGACAUUUGCCAUGCGCAGACAACACGCACUUCACCAAACAAUUCAGCCCGAGCCCCGCUGCAAACUCGCUGGGUUAUUUUUCUCGUCGUUCUCCGCUUGUUUAUGGCUGACGCUAUCUCGCCUGCACCGCUCCCUCGGUUUCAUUAUCUCUCCUCGCAGAUGGACCGUGGCUUUCCUUCUUCACGGGGCUUCUCUCUGCUGCUGCUAGAGCUCCCUCUCCUCUCCCCGGCUCCGCAUCCCUCUUGCUCCUAGUGAGCCUUCCCCAGCGAAGCGCUUCACUCCAGCCGUCCUUCCUCCUGCAGUCCCUUCUCCUCUGAAGACCCCGGCAUCCCCUAAAAUAAAGCCAAUGGCGCUAAUGUAAUCAUGGUAACAUUGUGGCCAGCGGGACCAGGGCAGGGACCAUCCCCUGUGCUGGGGCACCUCCAGUCCCGGGGAUUAAAGAAGUGCAACAGUUUCCAAGGAUUCAAAGGCAUGGUGGGAAAAGAAAAAAGUUUUUUUACCUCAUUGGCAGAGAAUUUGAGAAGAGCACAAGGUUUACCUUUGACAUCUGUUCCGUAUGAACCACGGAAGCUGAGUAAAUGGGUGGUGCAUUCUCACCUCUCUGCGUGGCCCAGGUUGGUUUUGUGUUCUCUAUUUUCAUCCUUCUGAAAUUGCUAUUGAAUUUAUUCAUAUCGCUGAGAGGAUUUCAUAUCCCAGAUGAGAUGCACAGAUUAAGUAAGCAAGUAAGCAGUAGAAGAUCUUUUUAUGUGACUCAAGAGAGAGGAUAAAUCCCAUUCUGGAUGAGUGGAAAUCUCUGACUCCCCUGGGCUCAGGGACCACUUGCAGGCUCUAUGGUUGUCUCAUUGGAGUGGUCUUUUUGCCAAAAGCAAUGCAGAAUAUUCCACUUAUCUGACAAAAUGUCUGCCACCAGGAGGUGGCUUCACUCAAAUAUACAUAUCUUUAAGAUGAAUACAAACUUGAAUUUAUUGCUCAUUUCAUUCAUAACCAGAAGUUCUCCUCACUUGCCAAACUGCUGAAUCAGCUUGGGUACCUCACCCUUGAGUCAGCACAGCCCAAAAUAGAAACUUGCUCCAUUUCCGAAGAGAGGAAGUACCACUGUUGUCUGCAAAUACAGCCACAUCUGACAUGCUUUUAUAGCUACAAACACUCAGUGCAGGGACUUGCAUGGCACUCUGCUGCUUAAAAAAAAAAAAGGGGGGGGAAGUAAAAAGGCACUUUCUUAUUCAAAAUAGGAGUGUUAGUUUUGCUGUGAGUAGGACUGUGUGGAUGUGGGAGUCCCAAGGAAUGGAGAACAAGAGAAGGACUUUACAAGUGGCAGUCAUUGAUGUCACCUAGCCUAGCCCAGCAUCAAGCUCCCACUCCACCUGCUUGCAGUUUCUCAGGACACACUCAGGAAUUAGGCAGACAAUGAACCAGGCUAUAACCAAACUGAAGCAGAGUCUUGAGCCAUGAGGAAAUAAUGGUAAGAAAACCUGGUAGAAGCUCUAAAACACUGACUGGAGAUCAGCUACCUGUGUUCCCAAGGUAGAGCUGAGUCAGUCCUGCUGCCAUGAGGUAACUCCACUUUAUAGCACAGCAUAAAACAGCAAAAAACCUGGGGAAAUGACCAAGAGCUGCAGUCAAAUACUGGGAAGUGACACUAAAGUCAUCAGCAGGACUUCAUGAGUAGGUGGAAGGCAGUGAAAAGGCACAUAAAAAUAGUCCUAUGUGAUACUAAUGAGGGAGGAUUUUCUGUGGCUCCAAGUCAGGACAAGAAGUGGAAGAAUGAGGAAAAUGUGAAUUCUCGAACUGCCCUUCUCAACCUCUGCAGUUUUUCCUGUUGCAAAUGAGCAUCCGUGGUAUUUGGCAUCCUACAAAAGGCCCCCCACUGUCCAGCAGUACUGGGGUGCCCCCUUCCCACGGGUGCUCCUGGUUUUCCUUUCCUGCAUGCUGCAGGAUGGUGUGGUGUUCUUCCUGGUCCAAGCAAACUACUGUUUCUGGUGCUUCCAUUAAAUGUGUCUGAAUUGGCUCUAUUUUCCAGAAGGAAAGGCCAUUCUGAUGGGCAGACAAAAAUCAGUAACCACUUUCAAACCAUGGGCAGACAAGAUGUGAUCCUUGGCACAGGAUUUUCCUGCAGUACUGUGGAGGAAACUGUAGAGAUUUGAAAAAUUUGUCAUUUCUGCAACAGGCGUGAGGGUUGCAACACACAAUUUUACCUUUUUUUUUAUUUUUGCAACGAUGCAGUUGCAAAUUGAAACAUGUUUUAUAUUUAGUGUUGGGAUUAUUCAGUUGAAAGAGGUGGGGGAGAGGAUUUGCAGGUGUAGUUACAGGAUUGUGCAGUUACCUCGUGCACACACUGCAGGUUUGGAAGGAAGACCUGCUGCAAAUCCACAGAAAACCCCAGCUAAGGAAUUGCAUGUUCCACAGGCAAUUACACACCGUAAAACUUUGUGAAACAUUUGCUAUGUGUGCACUAGGUCCUUUUUAAAUUUAGAUUUCUGGGAAGAAGAGAAUUGCUGGGGCAUUUCUGUGACCUGAUCCCUCGUCUUGGUUGAUCCGCGAUGGAAAGGUGACCCCGGGCACGGCUGAGCUGGGAAUGGAUCUGGUGAGAGCCAUUGCUGUCUGAGCCAAGCAGAGUGUUCCCAACUGCAUCCCUGAAUAGAUUCACUUGUUCUUUCCCUGGCUCUAUUUUAGCCACAAAUCUCUUAUUCUGCCCUGUGGGUGCCAACAUUUUGUUAAAAAAUAACCAAACUCAGUAAUAUUGGAUUUCUGGUGCACUUUUUUUUUCCCCAAAAGGGUUGAAGUGAAUGUUCUCACCUAUUCCUAGAACUUCACCUGUGUGGAUGCAACUCUGGUGACAUCCAGAAAGAUACAUGACCCUUACUCCUUCAGUGGAGGAGAUAUAUCUCAGCAACUUAGCAAUGUUGUGCCAAGUAUGAAGAGGAAGGCACUGAGAAACUAUUAAAUCGAUGUUUAGUUUGUAUUUAAGACAAUUUCUACAUUCAUUUGUGUUAUCAAGCUUGGAGAAAGUUCACUUUUUUCUACAAACACAGCAACCAGUUGUUACUUCAAUUUUUUGUUGUGCUGGUAGGAUUGAGACUUGGAUGAAAUGAGAAAGAUUCACACAGGGCAAUUUAUAGGAUCAAACAAUCAUGGAAUGGUUCAGGUUAGAAGGGGCUGUAAAGAUCAUCUCUCUCCAACCCCCUGCUGUGGCAGGAACACCUUCCACUAGACCAGGUUGAAUGUGAAAGCAAGCACCUUCCAAAAACUUGUGUUUAAAACUGAGCAUGAAUGCAUGUUUGUGCCAUGGGCCUUGUUCUGUUUCCACAGGAAACAAAAGAAGAAAAUGUUGCUGAGAACACUAAAACCACACUUUGGCAGAGGUGGUUAUCACAUCCUCCAGGGAUUUUUACCUGUGGUGCUGCCCUGACAGUUGUGCUGUAUUGUGGGAAUAAAGUGUGAAAUCACUCAGAACUGGGUCCUGCUGUUUGUAGAUGAAGCAAGUACAUAAAUACCUUUUGACAGAGGUAAGAGGGAAUGCUUGCUUCCACAGGGGAAGGGGAAUAGUGGUUCUGAGAACUGAAAACACAGCAAAUGUUUGUUAAAAGGGGGAGCUGGGGAGCAGGAUAAGGUGGCACAUAGCGCCCACUGGAAGGUCACAGAGGGAGAAAUGCUACAAUACAGCAUUUAUUACCUAAUGUUAC